rnacentral:lncRNA from 1 species
AGAACAGGCUGAGGAUGUUAUUCAGUGAUAGAGCACUUGCCUAGCAUGUGCAAGGUCCUGGGUUUGAUCCCCAGUACCACAAAAAAUAAGACAGUUAUGUGACUCAGUGGGAAGGAUUUGACUAAGGCGUAGAAAUAUUAGUCACUAAAAGCACCAAACUCAUUUCCAUUCUGUAUUUACCAAGAAAUCCUCUGAUUAUGAUUUGGAUUUAGCUUUAAUUGUAAUUUGGUCAACACAAAGAUGAUGAUCAGCAACCGCAACUAUUCUAGCUCCCCUUCGCUGCAUUUCUCACAACUUAAUACAUUAGCAUCAAUGCUUUUUACCCAACAAUUUCUUAGCAGUCUUUGAUGUGUAAUUCAGUACCCCAGAGUCCAGUCACUUCCAGACCUGAUAAGGCAAUUUCAAGCCUAUUUAAAGAAUCAAGAUAUUGAAACCAAGUAAUCACCAUGCUCCUGCCAGGCCACUGGAUACAUCUGGCAGUUUACUAGGCCUUCUCCAAGCCGCGCCUCUCAGUGUACACUUUCCAUUUCUACAUCCAUAAUUCUGUAUUGCCUAUUAUCUGUCUUUUGCCACUAGACUGAAAUCCUUAAGGAGGGGAAUGGCUUUUAUCUCUUUAGUUCUAACAACUAAUAAAGUUCUUAGCACAAAGAAAAAAAAAAUACGUGAUGAAAGAUCCAGCC